rnacentral:rRNA from 1 species
UGGGAAGUAUUGCGCAAUGGGCGAAAGCCUGACGCAGCGACGCCGCGUGAGGGACGAAGGCCUUCGGGUUGUAAACCUCUUCAGUAGGGAAGAAGCCGCAAGGUGACGGUACCUGCAGAAGAAGCGCCGGCUAACUACGUGCCAGCAGCCGCGGUAAUACGUAGGGCGCAAGCGUUAUCCGGAAUUAUUGGGCGUAAAGAGCUCGUAGGCGGUUUGUCGCGUCUGCCGUGAAAGUCCGGGGCUCAACUCCGGAUCUGCGGUGGGUACGGGCAGACUAGAGUGAUGUAGGGGAGACUGGAAUUCCUGGUGUAGCGGUGAAAUGCGCAGAUAUCAGGAGGAACACCGAUGGCGAAGGCAGGUCUCUGGGCAUUAACUGACGCUGAGGAGCGAAAGCAUGGGGAGCGAACAGGAUUAGAUACCC